GUUAGUUGGUAAGGUAACGGCUUACCAAGACUUCGAUGGGUAGGGGUCCUGAGAGGGAGAUCCCCCACACUGGUACUGAGACACGGACCAGACUCCUACGGGAGGCAGCAGUGAGGAAUAUUGGUCAAUGGACGCAAGUCUGAACCAGCCAUGCCGCGUGCAGGAUGACGGUCCUAUGGAUUGUAAACUGCUUUUAUACGGGAAGAAACCCUGGCUCGUGAGCCAGACUGACGGUACCGUAAGAAUAAGGAUCGGCUAACUCCGUGCCAGCAGCCGCGGUAAUACGGAGGAUCCAAGCGUUAUCCGGAAUCAUUGGGUUUAAAGGGUCCGUAGGCGGCCCUGUAAGUCAGCGGUGAAAUCUCCCGGCUCAACCGGGAAAUGGCCGUUGAUACUGCAGGGCUUGAAUUAGUAGGAAGUAACUAGAAUAUGUAGUGUAGCGGUGAAAUGCUUAGAGAUUACAUGGAAUACCAAUUGCGAAGGCAGGUUACUACUACUAUAUUGACGCUGAGGGACGAAAGCGUGGGUAGCGAACAGGAUUAGAUACCCUGGUAGUCCACGCCGUAAACGAUGGAUACUAGCUGUUGGGUUGCAAGACUCAGUGGCUAAGCGAAAGUGAUAAGUAUCCCACCUGGGGAGUACGAACGCAAGUUUGAAACUCAAAGGAAUUGACGGGGGCCCGCACAAGCGGUGGAGCAUGUGGUUUAAUUCGAUGAUACGCGAGGAACCUUACCAAGGCUUAAAUGUAGAUUGACCGGUUUGGAAACAGACUUUUCGCAAGACAAUUUACAAGGUGCUGCAUGGUUGUCGUCAGCUCGUGCCGUGAGGUGUCAGGUUAAGUCCUAUAACGAGCGCAACCCCUGUUGUUAGUUGCCAGCGAGUCAUGUCGGGAACUCUAACAAGACUGCCAGUGCAAACUGUGAGGAAGGUGGGGAUGACGUCAAAUCAUCACGGCCCUUACGCCUUGGGCUACACACGUGCUACAAUGGCCGGUACAGAGAGCAGCCACUGGGCGACCAGGAGCGAAUC
rnacentral:rRNA from 1 species